rnacentral:tRNA from 1 species
GGAGAGAUGGCCGAGCGGUUGAAGGCGCACGCCUGGAGCGCGUGUAGGUGUAACAGCCUCUAGGGUUCGAAUCCCUAUCUCUCCGCCA